GGUGGCAUGGCUCAGGAGGUAGAGCAGUUGGUUUAGGAAUCAGAUGGUUCCUGAUUCGAUCCCUGGCACCUUCA